ensembl:lncRNA
GUCCCGCCAGGGCCGCCGCUCUCCUAGGUGCGCCCUCGGGGAUCCGCACCGGAGCACGCGUCGGGAAGAACUGCGCAGACUCCGGGCGCGCCCCUCCUGGAGGGUUCGGUCCAGGCGCUCCAACGUUCUGGAGGGACUGGCCGCAAGGCGCCCUGCUUCUGGAGAGGCCGGCCCCAGUGGGCCCCCCUUCUGGUGAGGAUGCCAUCAGGAUCCCACAUAACCUCUAGUCUCGUGUCUCCUGAGGCUCCGCUUGGCUGUGACAGUCUCUCAGACUGUCCUUGGUUUCUGUGACCUUGGCGCUUGGGAGAGGUGCCGGCGGCUGUUCUGUAAGAUGUCUCUCUCUCUGGAUUUGUCUGAGGUUUUUGUCGUGGUUAGACUGGGGCACUGGUUUGGGAAGAAGACCGCAGAGAUAAAGUGCCAUUCCCGUCUCAGUGUAUCAAGGGUCCUUGCCACCAACAGGACCCAUCCCUGCUGAAGUUGACCUUGGUCGCCUGCCUGAAGAAGUGUCGUCUCCACUGUCAAGGCUGGACCUUGACCUGCAGAGCAACUGGGCGAGGGGCCGUGGGAAUGAAGACUCUGCUGGAGAAGGCUGGGCCGGGACGGCAGGAGGAACUGUGGAGCGGCUGCAGCAGAGGCCCAUUGUCUCAGAGCUACGUGGGGACUGGUGGCACUUCCCUGAUUAUCACAGCAGGAUUCUGGUUUCCAGAACAGGGGAGCUGGGCCGACACCACCCGUGCAAGCUGCCAGCCUGUGCUUGUCCUCACGGUGGCCGAGGGUCCAAGACAGCAAGCAGUUGAGCAGACGUGUGCAGCACCGCAGGAGCCAAGGCUGGAGCUGGGGCCCUGUCUGUCCUCUGCAGCUGUGAAGCCGGGCUGAUUCUGGAUUCCAGGGUGGAGAGACUCGGCCUCUGGGAGGGGGCUGCAGAGGUGAUUGAGAGGGGCCAGGCAGAGGGAGGGAGCCGGAGUGGGGUCCACUCUCCCGACCUGGGGCAGCUAGGCUUUGGGACCAUGCCCAGCGCUGGUGUCGCAGUCACUGGCUGGGAGGAGAGGCCUGUGUGUGCAUGCACAUAUGUGUAAGCAUGCAUGUGUGUGGGCAGAUGCAAGCCCAUCUCUGAUGUGUGUUGCUUGCGUUCCUGCUGACAAUUGCCGGACGUCCUAUGGAGAGCCAGCGUCUGAGUCCAGAUGGGGUGCAGGGCAGGGGCUCCAACCUGGAGUCCGCAGCGCCCGACAGAGUGUGGUCUAGCUCUGCUGCCCAGAAGAGACCCCAAGGAUGCUCGCACAUGACCUUGUGCUGCAGAACGUUAAUGGGAACAUGUAUUAGUGACUGUUCUCCACGAGAGGAUCCUGUGAGGACCCGUGGACUCAGCAGGCCACAGUGGGGCACUAACCGAUUUGUCUGACUGGCUGAGGUCGGUGUCCGGCUGGCUCCAUCCCCCCACUGGAGGCUCCGGGCUCAGGAAGGCCUGCGGGACAUCUGGGCCCUGCCUUCCUAGGAGCAGCGGCCUGUGUGGGCUGGGAUCCGGCUGAUGCUGACCAGCCGCCCCUCCCCAGGUGGAGGAAUCUCGUGGGCCCUGAAGUGGAGGAGGAGGUCCUGGCCCGUCACUUUCCCUGCCUGCCCCCAAUUCUCUGUGUCGGCUGGAAUCAGGUUCCAUGGAGCUCUCCUCUCCAGGCAGGGAGUAGUAGUGAGCGAGAGAAUCUCCCUUUUGUUAGGACAUAAAGACUGGGAGCGGAUUUCUUUUAGUUCUUUUGUUUAGUUUUGUUAGGGCUGGGAUCCUAGACAUAAAAUGUUAUUCUGCUGGGAGCGGGAUAAUGGUGCUGCCAGCUUCUCCGCACACAUGGAGAAUAGGGAGGAUCUUCUGUUGUGUGGUCGCACUGAGCAGACGCCCCG